rnacentral:rRNA from 1 species
AACGAACGCUGGCGGCAUGCCUAACACAUGCAAGUCGAACGAGACCUUCGGGUCUAGUGGCGCACGGGUGCGUAACGCGUGGGAACCUGCCCUUAGGUUCGGAAUAACUCCCCGAAAGGGGUGCUAAUACCGGAUAAUGUCUUCGGACCAAAGAUUUAUCGCCUUUGGAUGGGCCCGCGUUGGAUUAGCUAGUUGGUAGGGUAAAAGCCUACCAAGGCGACGAUCCAUAGCUGGUCUGAGAGGAUGAUCAGCCACACUGGGACUGAGACACGGCCCAGACUCCUACGGGAGGGAGCCGGGGGGGAUAUUGGAACAUGGGGGAAAGACUGAUCCAGCCAUGGCGGGUGAGUUAAGAAGGCCCUAGGGUUGUAAAGCCUUUUUAACCCGGAGGAUAAUGACCGUACCGGGAGAAUAAGGCACGGCUAACUCCGUG